rnacentral:snoRNA from 14 species
GCAGAUUCACUCUGCACCUGGCUGUAGCUCCAGUCUGGUGCUUUUUCCAUCUGCCAGAGAAACAAUCCGGGUGCUGUGGCUGCCUCUGCCUGUCAGGGGCAAUACAGCGGCCUGGGGACACAGCC